CCGCGCUAGUCGGGGAGAUAGCGGUGCCCUGUGACCUGCAACCCGCUAAAGCAGGGAUGAAGUCCGGCCCGAGGGCCGCGCCUGUGCCGUCCGGCCCCCGGUAAGCGGUGAUGACGAAACGGUCCCGCGCAACGGCUGCCCGUGAAUCAUGUCAGGCGGGGAACCGAGCAGCAUUAAGCGGUGUCGGGCGUGUGCCGCGGGGCAGCCGUUUUUGAGCAGGCUGCCGGGACAGCGGGCAUAGGCGUGUGUUCGGAGGCAGGUGCGCGG
rnacentral:SRP_RNA from 1 species